rnacentral:tRNA from 1 species
UAGCGUAGUUUGGUUAGCGCGCCUGCUUUGGGAGCAGGAGGUCGGAGGUUCAAAUCCUC